UACAGAGGUCCCGAGCGUUGUUCGGAUUCAUUGGGCGUAAAGGGUGCGUAGGCGGUCUGCUAAGUUUGAUGUGAAAUUCCGGGGCUCAACCCUGGCAUGGCAUUGAAUACUGGCGGACUAGAGUACUGGAGAGGAAACUGGAAUUCACGGUGUAGCAGUGAAAUGCGUAGAUAUCGUGAGGAAGACCAGUGGCGAAGGCGGGUCUCUGGACAGUUCCUGACGCUGAGGCGCGAAGGCCAGGGGAGCAAACGGG
rnacentral:rRNA from 1 species